rnacentral:rRNA from 1 species
AUUGAACGCUGGCGGCAGGCUUAACACAUGCAAGUCGAGCGAGAGGCGGACGGGUGAGUAAUGUAUGGGAAACUGCCUGAUGGAGGGGGAUAACUACUGGAAACGGUAGAUAAUACCGCAUACUGUCAGAUGUGCCCAGAUGGGAUUAGCUAGUAGGUGAGGUAAUGGCUGACCGAGGCGACGAUCCCUAGCUGGUCUGACAGGAUGACCGGCCACACUGGGACUGAGACACGGCCCAGACUCCUACGGGAGGCAGCAGUAGGGAAUAUUGGGCAAUGGGCGAAAGCAUGAUGCAGCCAUGCCGCGUGAGUGAAGAAGGUUUUCGGGUUGUAAAGCACUUUUGUUAGGGAGGCGGUACUUAAACAGAAAGCAACGGCUAACUACGUGCCAGCAGCCGCGGUAAUAC